rnacentral:sRNA from 15 species
CCUAGAUGUUGAUUGUCCCUCUCUUCUGUACCCACCCUACCAUGACAAUGACUUCGAGUUCCUGCAUUGUCCCUUGAUCCUGGCGCGGAUACGCGACCGACCGUUUUUAUGAUUUCGAAGAUUCAUUUCAAUUCACAAUGAUUCAUUAAUAUAAGCUUAUAUAUGGGGAAAUAUGUGUAUAUGGUUCCGAAUAGCACUAUAUAUGUGUGUGUGCAAUGUGUAUGUUUGCUCGCACUUGGGAAUUAAGGAUCUUUCCGUUUUCCUUAAUCUCAUAAUUAUUGCGAAUCUCCUCCCGUAAUCGAUUCGCAACUGGAUGGCCUCCAACAUGGUGAUAGGACUAACGCGGUCUUUCUUCUCAGGCAUUUAUCCGGCAAAGGCGAUUUCAAAGUCAUAUUCGUUAAAGCUCUCCCUCCAAAUGAGGGUCUGCGCUACGACAUCUUUACAACAGUUCACUUUGCCGUGGCAUCGAAGAACACUGCAUUCAGAUUCGAAGCCGAUUCGAAUGGGAAUGUCAAUGCAUUCGAGUCAAAUUUCGUUAAUGACAGCAUCCGCAUGACCGUUUAUUCGGGCACAACGGAUCCGAAGCUAUAGCCAUUCACUACUGAGGGAGCAGCAGCAGCAACUGCCGUGCGGUUUCCGUUUGUCAUGAUGCCUGCCCCAGGAUGACAGCUACGACACCGCACACAGAACCGGAUAGGGAUACAGAGGCGGAUAAGCGAUUUGGCCUUUGUCACGUUGGAGUUGCAGCACGGGCACAGGAGAGAUGACAGGGAUGAAGCAGAUUGCUAAGGAUUGCAAAUCAAAUGUAUUCUCUCUCUGCCUGGAAAUGUGCUAUGAACAUCCUGUUAAAGUGCAUUUAAAAUAAGUAAUAGUUCCAUAAAAUCUGUUAUAAAUACAUAUUCAAAUAAAUCCAUACCAAAUCUUUUAAAUAAUAUUAUUUCAUUAGUUAGGCUAACGCUAUUGGCCAUUUCAGGACGAUCCUUUGAUCGAUAUGUAAAUCAGAACAACGGACAGAUCGAAAAAAAGAAAUACCAUCUAAAUGUCAAGCCCUACCUGUAAUUUUUAAACAUUCAAGCAAGCUGGGAUUUUUAUGUCUCUAUUCAAAAAAGUUAGUAUACACAAAGUUCACAAGAAAAUUCUCAGUUAAUAUCGAUGAAAUUUUUCUUUCCGUUUUCAUCAAUCAAAGCAAAAUUUAUUUUGUUAUACCCGACCUGCAUUCGAAAGAAUCAUUUGUGCUGUUCUCAGGAGCGAACGACUCUAUCCGCCAGUUGGUAGAAAUAGUUGUUUAAUGGAACAACUCGAUGGAUACAACCGACAUAACGCAGCCUAGUUUUUUAUACGUCGUUCAAUCGUUUACCUUCGAGAAGAGCCCGAAGCAUCAGAGGCAGUCCUCCAUGGAUCGAGCUUGCCAAGGUCAAGAAGGACUUUUGUAACGAUGUCAUAGAGCAGACCCUCAGAUGGAGCGGGAGCUUCAACGAUUAUGCCUCUGAUAUCGCUUUCGCCGGACCAAUACCUCAGAAGAUGGGCCUCGUUGUUCCCAUCACAUGCUAGAGGCACGGUGGUGAAUCGAUUAUGAAUGGGAGAAGAUCGGCAAUAAUUAUAAGAGUAGGAAAAACUCUAUGGAAAGGGAAAUAUCUGCACGGAACAGAGAAACGCGGCCGCCACCAAAGACCUCCACCCAGAGGCCCUCGAUAUCAACAGAUGACUGUAACUGAACUCAAAGGACGGCGCACAAAUAGGUUUGGUCGUAUGCUCAGGUCUAGCUCGCCGGAUGGUCGGCGUUCUUCCUCACCUAAUUGUACUAUCGUACUCCACUACAUUUAUAUAG